UACAGUAGGAGUCCAUUUAUCGUCUCUGAAGGUACAAUCGACAUUUUGGGCUUAUCUUGACGAUUUCCAAAAGCAAAAAAAAAAAAAAGUAGAAUUAUAUUUUUAUUUAUGUAACCGCGAUCUAUGCAUCCAUAGCUUUUGAUUUAAAUGUUCAAUUCUGUGACUUUUUUUUUUUUUUUUUGUAAUCUACAAUAUCUUACAAUGCUCUUCAGCCUAAUGCAGUAUUAUUGCUUGUUUACGCAAUGAAGCUACAAGCUAAAAAUAAUAAGUUUAAAAAAAAAAAAAAAAGAUCACACUCGAUAGGG